rnacentral:snoRNA from 1 species
AAAAACAGACUUCAGAGAAUCAUUUCUAUAGUAUUCGUCCCACUCUUUAUUCCUUACAAAAGGCAUAGAGCCCACCCUGGUUGAUGAGCGAAAAUCCCCGUCGCCCUAGAGUGAAAAUUUCAACUCAAUCGAGGUUCCUUGUUGUCCCUUUUUUGGGGCGUCAUGGUUCCUCUUUACUCUCGCCCUGUCCGCAAGGAUGGCGGUCCGCGCGCCCUCGUGCGCGGGCUGUAUAGAGAGUGGUGAUGAUCUCAACCCCGUUGUCGCGGUCUUGCCUUCGGGCGCGUGGCCGGGGUGGGCGACGGUGGAAGUCUGACAGGC